CAAGAAAGAAUUCUCUAGCCUGCUGGCCUUCAGCCUGGCAUUGCAGCAUUGGCCCUCCAGCCUGCCAGCCAGCCAUGCAGAAUUUGGAUUGCCUGCCUCCAUACUUGGAUUCCUGCCUCUGUCCCAAGAAAAACGUGCUCCUGGUCCCACCUGCUGAUUCAAGGAGGAAUGACACUGUCUGGAGCAGACCUGGGCCCAAACUGAAGUUGGAGUCAAAUCCAAUGGAGCCCAGGCUAGAUCAGCCAUUCCCAGCCAAUCCACAGACACUGGAGUGAGAAAACAUAAAGCUCCAAGCUCACCACCAACACAGUACGAGCUAUGAAUACAAGGAAAAGGAGAUCGCGCAGGCCGGAAGGCUGAUUGGAGAAGGAGAACCUUGACAGCAGCUACUUCUAGAUCUUCGCUGACAAGUGAAGAUGACAGUGCAUCUGAAAAACUGAAUAUUUACUGUAUUUUAAUUUAAAAAUUGAUACUGGUUUCAGUUCUUGGAAAGCUGAAUCAAGUUGUUUGGAACAACUGAGGUAUGUGGAGCUACUUUUCAACUGUCAGUUUAAUGAAAUCUAAAUACAACCAAGUAUUUCCGAUGACAAUCUAGUGCCUGACUCAAGA